rnacentral:rRNA from 1 species
CGGACUGAGUAACGCGUAGGUGACCUGCCCCGAAGUGGGGAAUAACUGCCCGAAAGGGUGGCUAAUACCGCAUGUGGUGGUUCGUUCAUUCGGACCAUCAAAGCAGUAAUGCGCUUCGGGAGGGGCCUGCGUCCGAUUAGCUCGUUGGUGGGGUAACGGCUCACCAAGGCGACGAUCGGUAGGUGGUCUGAGAGGACGAUCACCCAGACUGGGACUGAGACACGGCCCAG